rnacentral:rRNA from 1 species
CAUGCAAGUCAACUUGAACUUCGGUUUGGGUGGCGGACGGGUGAGUAACGCGUAAAGAACUUGCCUCACAGAUAGGGACAACAUUUGGAAACGAAUGCUAAUACCUGAUAUUAUGAUUUUAGGGCAUCCUAGGAUUAUGAAAGCUAUAUGCGCUGUGAGAGAGCUUUGCGUCCCAUUAGCUAGUUGGAGAGGUAACGGCUCACCAAGGCGGUGAUGGGUAGCCGGCCUGAGAGGGUGAUCGGCCACAAGGGGACUGAGACACGGCCCUUACUCCUACGGGAGGCAGCAGUGGGGAAUAUUGGACAAUGGACCAAGAGUCUGAUCCAGCAAUUCUGUGUGCACGAUGAAGUUUUUCGGAAUGUAAAGUGCUUUCAGUUGGGAAGAAAAAAAUGACGGUACCAACAGAAGAAGUGACGGCUAAAUACGUGCCAGCAGCCGCGGUAAUACGUAUGUCACAAGCGUUAUCCGGAUUUAUUGGGCGUAAAGCGCGUCUAGGUGGUUAUGUAAGUCUGAUGUGAAAAUGCAGGGCUCAACUCUGUAUUGCGUUGGAAACUGUGUAACUAGAGCACUGGAGAGGUAAGCGGAACUACAAGUGUAGAGGUGAAAUUCGUAGAUAUUUGUAGGAAUGCCGAUGGGGAAGCCAGCUUACUGGACAGAUACUGACGCUGAAGCGCGAAAGCGUGGGUAGCAAACAGGAUUAGAUACCCUGGUAGUCCACGCCGUAAACGAUGAUUACUAGGUGUUGGGGGUCGAACCUCAGCGCCCAAGCAAACGCGAUA